ncrna:unclassified sequences RAGATH-8 RNA
GGAAAAUAAGCAAGCAAGAAAGAACGGUUGUAGCGACAGGGCGGCUCACAAGUAACGUGGUAGUUAGGCUAUUCGAGAAAUAGACGGAGUGAGUGCAGAAUAAACAAGAACCGUCACCGGAUUCGAAGAAAGUAGGAAUUGCACGGCACUGAUGCAUAGUGUUCCGCACUGAUGGAAGAAAGCGGACAGGCUUGACCGACAAGCACAUUAACCGUAAAACAAGAAGCAAUUAAACGGAAGUAUCGAACGCGCGAAAGACUUAAGCACUUGUUUUCC